rnacentral:ncRNA from 2 species
GGGGAAGCCGGUGGAAUUCCGGCACUGACCCGCAACCGUGAGCCGCCCAUCGGACCCCCGGGGCCCGGGAGCGGCGAGUCGGAAUGCCC